AACAGGAUUAGAUACCCUGGUAGUCCACGCCCUAAACGAUGUCUACUAGUUGUUGGUGGAGUAAAAUCCAUGAGUAACGCAGCUAACGCGUGAAGUAGACCGCCUGGGGAGUACGGUCGCAAGAUUAAAACUCAAAUGAAUUGACGGGGGCCCGCACAAGCGGUGGAUUAUGUGGAUUAAUUCGAUGCAACGCGAAAAACCUUACCUGGCUUGACAUGUAACGAACUUUCCAGAGAUGGAUUGGUGCUCGAAAGAGAACGUUAACACAGGUGCUGCAUGGCUGUCGUCAGCUCGUGUCGUGAGAUGUUGGGUUAAGUCCCGCAACGAGCGCAACCCUUGCCAAUAAUUGCCAUCAUUUAGUUGGGCACUUUAUUGGGACUGCCGAUGACAAAUCGGAGGAAGGUGGGGAUGACGUCAAGUCCUCAUGGCCCUUAUGGCCAGGGCUUCACACGUAAUACAAUGGUCGGUACAGAGGGUUGCCAAGCCGCAAGGUGGAGCCAAUCCCAGAAAGCCGAUCGUAGUCCGGAUUGAGGUCUGCAACUCGACCUCAUGAAAUCGGAAUCGCUAGUAAUCGCGGAUCAGCAUGUCGCGGUGAAUACGUUCCCGGGCCUUGUACACACCGCCCGUCACACCAUGGGAGUGGGUUUUACCAGAAGUAGGUAGUCUAACCGCAAGGAGGACGCUUACCACGGUAGUAUUCAUGACUGGGGUGAAGUCGUAACAAGGUAACC
rnacentral:rRNA from 1 species